GACAAACACAAGGACGUUGCAAGCCUGGGUGAAACCUCAUGGCCUCAGGCUAUCUCUGCUGCAGUUGCAGGGCAUCCCCUGUGCCCCGCACCACACCAUCCCCAGGGGCUUCCCAAAAGGCCCUUGGGAUCUCCCCGGUGGGCCAGGGGCUCUAUUCCCACCAGAGCUGUGCAACUGCAAGCUCAACUUUGGAGAAUAGGUCUUCCAGUAAGCCCAAGGUCCUGGCCAAGUUGGAGGAGAGGGGCUCCAGAGUUUUAACCCUUGUGAUCUUCUGCUCCUUACCAGAUGCAGGUCCCAGGUGAGCAGUUCCUCCUCAGCAGAGAUCCUGGAUUACUUACAGGAAGAGAGCUUAGCACCUACUGCCACGGGCUCCCUGUUGCUUGGUGUAAUUUGGCCCAGCCCCACAGCAUGGAGGGGUCGAGAUGAGCUCCUGCCUCAUCGCCCAUGGCUAUAAGGAGGUGGUACCACACCGCCUGCUCCACAGAGCAGCAUUUAGUGUAGACAGAGUACUGCGACUGCAUGCUCAUGUCAGCAGCAUGAGCUGGAGGUUUGUGCAACUGGAAGCCAAGAUGAAGAGGCUGAAGCAAGGAACAGAGGAACACAAGGCAAGCAGGAGAGCCAGGCACCGUGGCACCGUACAGCCAUGCUCUGGUCCUGGGUCCUGCCCACUGCAUCUCUGGAUUUCAGAUGCAUCCCAGCUACCAGCAAGAGAAUUGCUGUGAAUACCUCCACCAGAAGCUGUCUCAUACCAAAAGAAUGGCUCUGCAGUUUGAAAGAAGCAGGAGGUCCUAGGCAAACUGCUGUUGCAGUUUUUUUCCUUCCUUAUCCAGCCCUGUCUCUGAAGCAGUGCCUGCUGCUCCAGCUGUCCUGUAGCACCUGAAGCCAGCUCAUUCCCUGCUCCCUGGGGGAGAGCAGGAGGCCGUGGCUGCAGGGGAGAGGCAGAGCCAGGCACUUGGAGACCUUCUGCUGAGGCCUGAGCCAGCCCAAGGGGGAUGUGUUACUUUGGACAGUGGCUCAGUCCCCAGCUGCCACCAGGUCUGGAGUCACAGUCCAGGGAGCAAAGCCAGGAUGAGAACAGCGUCCCCGGCUCUCCCUGACUGAGGGCACUGUCCUACCCACCAAUGAAGCAGUGCUCCAGUUUGGUGUUACAGGGGUAAUUGUGAGCUGUCAGGAGAACUUGUUGUGCUCCUGUUUCUUGCAGCAGUGCCUGGAGCCCACAGCCAGAUGUGGGACUCCUGCUAGUCUGAGGUGCAGGGACCAUUGGACAUUAUAUCCUCCCCCCAAGGAGCCUCUAGACCUGUACUGGGCCACAGAGCACCUGCCAGAGCAGCAGAGCACAGGAGGAAGAUGUUUGAGCUACUGAUGCAGCUGGGGAAGAAAGUGUUGUACUGCACAGCUGCUGUAGCCAGAGUAGUGUGUGCUAAGCCUUGUAUGAGCUACUGUACCUGGAGAAUUCCAGCAGCAAUAAAUAACGUGCCUUUUGAGUUGUGGGGGAGGAAUCCAGAGAUAGAGCAAGCUCUGGCUCUUGCCCUGGUAACUGCUGCCACACAGCAGUGCCCUCUUCAACUUGCAUGCAGCACAAGAAUCCAGAGUCAGGGCAACAGCCCCUCCCUGGUCAGCCCAUCUCACUCCUGCCUUUCCCAGAGGAAAGCAGGAUAUCCUGGUCAGUCACAGCCCA